UACGGAGGGGGUUAGCGUUGUUCGGAAUUACUGGGCGUAAAGCGCGCGUAGGCGGACUGUUAAGUCAGAGGUGAAAUCCCAGGGCUCGACCCUGGAACUGCCUUUGAUACUGGCAGUCUCGAGUUCGAGAGAGGUGAGUGGAAUUCCGAGUGUAGAGGUGAAAUUCGUAGAUAUUCGGAGGAACACCAGUAGCGAAGGCGGCUCACUGGCUCGAUACUGACGCUGAGGUGCGAAAGUGUGGGGAGCAAACAGG
rnacentral:misc_RNA from 1 species